UAGCAAGCUUCUAGCACGCGUGGGUCUGCCAUGGCCCUGUACACGCUACAGAGCUCACCAGAACAGUCUCGAAACCGUUUGAGGCCUUCUCCUGCUCCAUCAGAGCAAGAUUAUAGAAAUUUCAGACAAUG